UACAGAGGUCUCAAGCGUUGUUCGGAUUCAUUGGGCGUAAAGGGUGCGUAGGUGGCGCUGUAAGUCGGGUGUGAAAUUUCGGAGCUUAACUCCGAAACUGCAUUCGAUACUGCGGUGCUUGAGGACUGGAGAGGAGACUGGAAUUCAUGGUGUAGCAGUGAAAUGCGUAGAGAUCAUGAGGAAGACCAGUGGCGAAGGCGGCUCACUGGACUGGUAUUGACGCUGAGGUGCGAAAGCGUGGGGAGCAAACAGG
rnacentral:rRNA from 1 species